CUAGGUAUACGCCAAUCUAUUCGGCAAAAAAGGGGACAGAGUCGCAAGCUUCAGUGCAGUAUAUUCCUCAUGGCAGUGCAUUAAUUAUUGAUAGAGCUGUAGGACACUCUCUAUCAGGCUGAUGGUCAGCACUGAUGGGUUCAUACCCUGUGCAACUGGGGUGAGCCCCCUACAGCACUGCUGCUUCUACUCCUACCCCUCUCAAC